GAGCCCAUCCACCAGAGGGGCUACAAAGGGGAGGGCCCAGCUUUCAUACCUCUGUGUCAGAUGAGACCAACCAUGGAAUGUUUCAGUCUCACCUAAGAAAGUUAUAACUUAAGAGCAUGUGAAAACAGCAGGAGAGAUGAUCUCGUGGUCCAAACACAGAGCUGAGAUUCAACUGAAUCAGGUUCUGUUCUCGGCUGUGUCACAGGCAUCGAGUGUGAUGCUGGGUGAGCUCUGCAUUGCCGUCCUCACUGGCAUGCAGCAGCAAUUAACUGUCCUCUGCAUACCUGCUGAAUUCCCCCCUUUCCAGAGAAAAGUUUGGAAAGCACAG